ACUGUAAUAUUUUAUUAUUAACGGCCGCGGUACCUUGACCGUGCUAAGGUAGCGUAAUAAGUUGGCUUUUAAAUGGAGUCAGGAAUGAAUGGAUAAACUGGGUUUAACUGUCUCAAAUAUAUUUAAUUGAAUUUACUGUGCAAGUGAAAAAGCUUGCUUAAUCAAGGGGGACGAGAAGACCCUUAAAAUUUAAUUAAAAAUAGUAUACUUACUAAUUUCAAUUUUGUUGGGGCGACAUAGAAAUAAUUAUAACUUUCUUUAAUUUACAAGUCGGAAUUUUCAAGUAAGAAUAAAUUACUUAAGGGAUAACAGCAUAAUUCUAUAAUUGAGUUUGUGACCUCGAUGUUGGACUAGAAAGCUGAUAGGUUAGAUGCUUAUCGUGGAGAUUCUGUUCGAAUUUUAACUUCU
rnacentral:rRNA from 1 species